rnacentral:rRNA from 1 species
GGACUACUAGGGUUUCUAAUCCCGUUCGCUCCCCUGGCUUUCGUGUGUGAGCGUCAGGAACGCGCCAGUGCACUGCCUUCGCCUUUGGUGUUCCCCAUGAUAUCAACGGAUUUCACCCCUCCACCAUGAGUUCCGUGCACCUCUCGCGCCCUCGAGCCUUGCCGUUUCCCUUGCGCGCCGUAGGUUAGGCCCACGGAUUUUACAAGAGACUAACAAGGCCGCCUGGACACCCUUUACGCCCAGUGAUUCCGGGUAAUGCUUGGGGCCUCUGUAUUACCGCGGCUGCUGGCAC